rnacentral:tRNA from 2 species
UCCCCGAUAGCUCAAUAGGUAGAGCGGGCGGCUGUUAACCGCCAGGUCGUAGGUUCGAGCCCUACUCGGGGAG